CCUUGUACACACCGCCCGUCACACCAUGGGAGUUGGUUUCACCCGAAGGCGCUACGCUAACCGCAAGGAGGCAGCCGGCCACGGUAGGGUCAGCGACUGGGGUG
rnacentral:rRNA from 1 species